rnacentral:rRNA from 1 species
UACGUAGGGCGCAAGCGUUGUCCGGAAUUAUUGGGCGUAAAGAGCUCGUAGGCGGUCUGUCGCGUCGUUGUGAAACUCGAGGCUCAACCUCGGCCUGCAGUGGGUACGGGCAGACUAGAGUGCGGUAGGGGAGAUUGGAAUUCCUGGUGUAGGCGGUGGAAUGCGCAGAUAUCAGGAGGAACACCGAUGGCGAAGGCAGGUCUCUGGGCAUUAACUGACGCUGAGGAGCGAAAGCAUGGGGAGCGAACAGG